UACGUAGGGUGCAAGCGUUGCCCGGAUUUAUUGGGCGUAAAGAGCUCGUAGGCGGUUCGGUAAGUCGGGUGUGAAAACUUUGGGCUCAACCCAAAGCCUGCACCCGAUACUGCUGUGACUUGAGUCCGGUAGGGGAGUGGGGAAUUCCUGGUGUAGCGGUGGAAUGCGCAGAUAUCAGGAGGAACACCGGUGGCGAAGGCGCCACUCUGGGCCGGUACUGACGCUGAGGAGCGAAAGCGUGGGGAGCGAACAGG
rnacentral:rRNA from 1 species